rnacentral:rRNA from 1 species
UAGAGUUUGAUCAUGGCUCAGAACGAACGCUGGCGGCGUGGAUUAGGCAUGCAAGUCGAACGAGGAUAUAUCCUUCGGGAUAUAAGCCGAGUGGCACAAGGGUGAGCAAUGCAUAGAUUACCUACCUUUAGGAUAAGGACAACUUUGUGAAAACGGAGCUAAUACUUAAUAAUACAAAAGAAAAUAAUUUUCUUUUGUCAAAGGGAGGGUAGCAAUACCUUUCGCCUAGAGAGGGGUUUAUGUCCUAUCAGCUUGUUGGUGGGGUAAUAGCCUACCAAGGCAAAGACGGGUAGCCGGUUUAAGAGGAUGGUCGGCCACACUGGGACUGAGACACUGCCCAGACUUCUACGGAAGGCUGCAGUCGAGAAUCUUUCGCAAUGCCCGAAAGGGUGACGAAGCGACGCCGCGUGGGUGAAGAAGGCCUUCGGGUUGUAAAACCCUGUCAGGAGUUAUGAAAUGUAAGUACGCUAAUAUCGUGCUUAUUUGACAAAGGCUCCAAAGGAAGCCACGGCUAACUCUGUGCCAGCAGCCGCGGUAAUACAGAGGUGGCGAGCGUUGUUCGGAAUUAUUGGGCGUAAAGAGCACGUAGGUGGGUUUGCAAGUCAGAUGUGAAAGCCUUCUGUUCAACGGGAGAAUUGCAUCUGAAACUGCUAAUCUUGAGUAUAGGAGGGGAGAAUGGAACUUCUGGUGGAGCGGUGAAAUGCGUAGAUAUCAGAAGGAACGCCGGCGGCGAAAGCGAUUCUCUGGCCUAUUACUGACACUCAGUGUGCGAAAGCUAGGGGAGCAAACGGGAUUAGAUACCCCGGUAGUCCUAGCCGUAAACGAUGGGCACUAAGUAGAGGGAAUUACCUAUGUUCUCUCUGCCGUAGCUAACGCAUUAAGUGCCCCGCCUGGGGAGUACGGCCGCAAGGCUAAAACUCAAAAGAAUUGACGGGGGCUCGCACAAGCGGUGGAGCAUGUGGCUUAAUUCGAUGCAACGCGAAAAACCUUACCGGGGCUUGACAUGAUAGAAGUAGGAACCUGAAAGGGGGACGAACGGUAUCCAGUCCGUAGCUAUUACAGGUGUUGUAUGGCUGUCGUCAGCUCGUGUCGUGAGACGUUGGGUUAAGUCCCCUAACGAGCGAAACCCUUGUUUUUAGUUACCAGCGGGUUAUGCCGGGUACUCUAGAAAGACUGCCGUCGUCAAGACGGAGGAAGGUGGGGAUGACGUCAAGUCAUCAUGGCCCUUAUGCCCCGGGCUGCACACGUGCUACAAUGGUCGGUACAAACGGAAGCGAAGCCGAGAGGUGUAGCGAAUCCUAAAAAGCCGAUCUCAGUUCGGAUUGGAGGCUGAAAUUCGCCUCCAUGAAGUUGGAAUCGCUAGUAAUCGCGGAUCAGCAAUGUCGCGGUGAAUAUGUUCCCGAGCCUUGUACACACCGCCCGUCAAGCCACCCAAGCAGGAUGCACCCGAAAACAUUAUAUCUAACCAGGGCAACUUGGAGGAAAAUGUUGAAGGAGUGUUUUGUGAGGAGGACUAAGUCGUAACAAGGUA